UGGGGAAUUUUGCGCAAUGGGCGAAAGCCUGACGCAGCAACGCCGCGUGGGUGAUGAAGGUCUUCGGAUCGUAAAACCCUGUCGUCAGGGACGAAGGUUGCAUAUCUAACAGGUGUGUAACUUGACGGUACCUGGAGAGGAAGCCCCGGCUAACUCGGUGCCAGCAGCCGCGGUAAUACAGCGGGGGCAAGCGUUAUUCGGAAGUAUUGGGCGUAAAGGGCGCGUAGGCGGUGCGUUAAGUGAGAUGUGUAAGCCCCGAGCUUAACUUGGGAACGGCAUCUCAUACUGAAGCGCUAGAGUACUGGAGAGGGUGGUAGAAUUCCACGUGUAGCGGUGAAAUGCGUAGAGAUGUGGAGGAAUACCGGUGGCGAAGGCGGCCGCCUGGACAGUAACUGACGCUGAGGCGCGAAAGUGUGGGUAGCAAACA
rnacentral:rRNA from 1 species